CAAUAGCGUAUAUUAAAGUUGUUGCAGUUAAAAAGCUCGUGGUUGGAUUUCUGGUGGGAGCGAUCGGUCUGGCGCUUAGCGCGAGUACUUGCAUCGUCUCCGGCCAUCCUUGGGGAGAGUCUGUCUGGCAUUAGGUUGUCGGGCAGAGGAUCCUCAUCGUUUACUGUGAAAAAAUUAGAGUGUUCAAAGCAGGCUUAUGCCGUUGAAUAUAUUAGCAUGGAAUAAUAAGAUAGGACUUUGGUACUAUUUUGUUGGUUUGCGCACCAAAGUAAUGAUUAAUAGGGACAGUUGGGGGUAUUCGUAUUCCGUUGUCAGAGGUGAAAUUCUUGGAUUUACGGAAGACGAACUACUGCGAAAGCAUUUACCAAGGAUGUUUUCAUUAA
rnacentral:rRNA from 1 species